rnacentral:rRNA from 1 species
UACACACCGCCCGUCACACCAUGGGAGUUGGUUUCACCCGAAAGGUGGUGCGCUAACCCGCAAGGGAGGCAGCCAACCACGGUGGGAUCAGCGACUGGGGUG